CCCCCCACCGUAUACACAUUUCUCAUCUGCACUUCUGGUGGGUAACAAAAAGUAGGACUUUUCCUUUUUGGCCCACCCCUAAAUGAGUCAAUUGGCGCAUAGUAAGCAAAGACACACUCAUAACAGUAAAACGGUUAUUGCACGAUUGACCGCCCUAGAUGAUUAACCCAUUUCCUCUUGUACUUUUAAUACCUCUAUAUAUUUGCAGAAAAUGCACCUGCAGUUUACAGCAGAAUUGCCGCCAGGUGAAUUUGGUGAUCCGAUAGUAGGUAAACACUUAAGGUCCAUCCAUGUAAAUCAAAAUGCAC
rnacentral:lncRNA from 1 species